CGGUUGAUCCUGCCGGAGGACAUUGCUAUUGGGAUUCGAUUUAGCCAUGCUAGUCGAGCGAGUUCAGACUCGCGGCGAAUAGCUCAGUAACACGUGGCCAAGCUCCCCUUCAGUCAGCGAUACCCUCGGGAAACUGAGGUUAACAGCUGAUACAAAACGCCAGCUGGAAUGCGGCGUUUCAGAAAGACAUCGCUGAAGGAUGCGGCUGCGGCCGAUUAGGUAGACGGUGGGGUAACGGCCCACCGUGCCAGUAAUCGGUGCGGGUGAUGAGAGUCAGAGCCCGGAGACGGAAUCUGAGACAAGAUUCCGGGCCCUACGGGGCGCAGCAGGCGCGAAACCUUUACACUGCACGGAAGUGCGAUAGGGGAAUCCCAAGUGCGAGGGCAUAUUAGCCCUCGCUUUUCUCGACUGUAAGGUGGUCGACGAAUAAGAGCUGGGCAAGACCGGUGCCAGCCGCCGCGGUAAUACCGGCAGCUCAAGUGAUGUCCCAUAUUAUUGGGCCUAAAGCGUCCGUAGCUGGCCGACCAAGUCUACCGGGAAAUCCACCCGCCCAACGGGUGGGCGUCCGGUAGAAACUGGCCGGCUUGGAACCGGAAGGCUCAGAGAGUACGUCCGGGGUAGGAGUGAAAUCCCGUAAUCCCGGACGGACUACCGAUGGCGAAAGCACUCUGAGAAGACGGCUUCGACAGUGAGGGACGAAAGCUCGGGUCUCAAACCGGAUUAGAUACCCGGGUAGUC
rnacentral:rRNA from 1 species